rnacentral:lncRNA from 1 species
GCGGGCCGGCCGUCAUAGCCGUGCCGCUCCUGGGUGGGUGGGUGGGUGGGGGGAGGGCCUUGGGCCUUGGCCUUGGCCCUCGUUGCCACCCCUCUCCUGUCCGCUCGAGCGAGGGCGCGCGCGUGUCGGCCGGUCCCGACGUGACUGCUCGGUGCCCCGGGCCGUCGAGGGGAGGUCCGUGUCUGGGGUGUGGUGGUGGUGGGGAGCUUGGGGCUUCCCCCUCGUCCCUCCGCGACGCCGCGGUGCGGCCCCGCGCCGCUUGUGCCCUCGGUCGAGUUGUCGGGCGGCCCGUCGUCGGUCCUCGCUGCGGGUGUGGUGGGCCGCUGGGUCCCUGGGGUGCGCCUCCGCCCCCACCCCGCUGUCAACCGCCCUGCAAGCACGCACGCCUUGCGCUGGGGUCCACCUGGCCCGCUGUCCCACCGUCUCCUACCUGGUUGAUCCUGCCAGUAGCAUAUGCUUGUCUCAAAGAUUAAGCCAUGCAUGUCUAAGUACGCACGGCCGGUACAGUGAAACUGCGAAUGGCUCAUUAAAUCAGUUAUGGUUCCUUUGGUCGCUCGCUCCUCUCCUACUUGGAUAACCUCGGGCCGAUCGCACGCCCUCCGUGGCGGCGACGACCCAUUCGAACGUCUGCCCUAUCAACUUUCGAUGGUAGUCGCCGUGCCUACCAUGGUGACCACGGGUGACGGGGAAUCAGGGUUCGAUUCCGGAGAGGGAGCCUGAGAAACGGCUACCACAUCCAAGGAAGGCAGCAGGCGCGCAAAUUACCCACUCCCGACCCGGGGAGGUAGUGACGAAAAAUAACAAUACAGGACUCUUUCGAGGCCCUGUAAUUGGAAUGAGUCCACUUUAAAUCCUUCCGCGAGGAUCCAUUGGAGGGCAAGUCUGGUGCCAGCAGCCGCGGUAAUUCCAGCUCCAAUAGCGUAUAUUAAAGUUGCUGCAGUUAAAAAGCUCGUAGUUGGAUCUUGGGAGCGGGCGGGCGGUCCGCCGCGAGGCGAGCCACCGCCCGUCCCCGCCCCUUGCCUCUCGGCGCCCCCUCGAUGCUCUUAGCUGAGUGUCCCGCGGGGCCCGAAGCGUUUACUUUGAAAAAAUUAGAGUGUUCAAAGCAGGCCCGAGCCGCCUGGAUACCGCAGCUA